rnacentral:rRNA from 1 species
GUGCCAGCCGCCGCGGUAAUACGUAGGGGGCGAGCGUUGUCCGGAUUUAUUGGGCGUAAAGAGCUCGUAGGCGGCUUAGCAAGUCGGGUGUGAAAACUCCAGGCUCAACCUGGAGACGCCACUCGAGACUGCUAUGGCUAGAGUCCGGUAGGGGACCACGGAAUUCCUGGUGUAGCGGUGAAAUGCGCAGAUAUCAGGAGGAACACCGGUGGCGAAGGCGGUGGUCUGGGCCGGCACUGACGCUGAGGAGCGAAAGCGUGGGGAGCAAACAGGAUUAGAAACCCUGGUAGUCC